GUCGGGGCAGGAAUGACAGAGUUAUUGUCCAACGGAACGGAAUGUGAACGUUGGAAGGAGGCGAUGGCCGCUUUGUCAUCCCGCAUUCACCGCA
rnacentral:ncRNA from 2 species